AUUAAACGCUGGCGGCAUGCCUUACACAUGCAAGUCGAACGGCAGCACGGGGGCAACCCUGGUGGCGAGUGGCGGACGGGUGAGUAAUACAUCGGAACGUGCCCUGGAGUGGGGGAUAACGCAGCGAAAGCUACGCUAAUACCGCAUAUUCUGUGAGCAGGAAAGCAGGGGAUCGCAAGACCUUGCGCUUUGGGAGCGGCCGAUGUCGGAUUAGCUAGUUGGUGGGGUAAAGGCCUACCAAGGCGACGAUCCGUAGCGGGUCUGAGAGGAUGAUCCGCCACACUGGGACUGAGACACGGCCCAGACUCCUACGGGAGGCAGCAGUGGGGAAUUUUGGACAAUGGGCGGAAGCCUGAUCCAGCCAUGCCGCGUGAGUGAAGAGGGCCUCGGUUGUAAG
rnacentral:rRNA from 1 species